rnacentral:misc_RNA from 1 species
UCUCUUCUUUAUUUAUAGACUCUCAGUGCUUCUAUUUGCACACAUGAUUCUAUUACACCAAUUGGCAUCACAAUUUCCUUCUAUUUCUUCUGUUAGCCUUCUCCCUAGAAUACUCUAUCCAUAUCCCUAUCACAAGGCAUUUGCUUUGGCCAUUUGAACAAAUGAUCCAUGCAUAUUUUGUACAAAAUGGAAUUACAUCCCAAUACAAUAAGGAAAACUACAUUUUUGAAUCAGGAACUCCAAGCCAUAAAAUCGAAUUGAGCCUGAGACUCUAAAUAUUAAUGAAGAGCAUUGAGCAGUAGAGAAACUAGAUACAGUUCACUUCAAUUGUCAACUAGAAUUCCCCAAUUUGGUAGAAACAUUGAUAAAUCGUGUGACAACUAUUCAAAUAGCAGCAACUAAAUUUGUCACAAUGACAAUAACAAAAAUAAAAACAUAUCACCGUGUAUACCACAUUUGUUAAAGGUGAAUCUGAGACACUUGCACAUCAAUCACUGAAGGGCAGGCAACAUUAAUUGAUGUUAACAUCAAUUCUGUCUUUUUCUUCUUCUUCUUUUAUAAGCAAUUUUCAUUGCAUGAAGUAAUGUUAAAAUUGUCAUUUUGGCUAUAAGCAAUCUGCAAUUAGGUAAAAUACAGACGGUAGAGUGACAGCAUCCAACAAUGUUUUCCCUAUCAUGAUUUUCUACUGUGUUACUGUUAUAAUGAGUAGUUAUCUUAUGGUGGUUUAGCAAUCAUUGCUAUUUAGUUGGAAAGUAAGAUUAUGGUUUAAGACUUUUUAAUAUCAUUUGUUGUAUUUUCAUUUGGAUUUCAAGAACAUUUGCAAAUAUUAUAUGCUAUAAAUAUUAUACAUUUUUAAUAUGUG